CGUGAGCUAAUACCGGAUAUCUCAUUUCCUCUCCUGAGGGGAUGAUGAAAGACGGAGCAAUCUGUCACUUGCGGAUGGGCCUGCGGCGCAUUAGCUAGUUGGUGAGGUAACGGCUCACCAAGGCGACGAUGCGUAGCCGACCUGAGAGGGUGAACGGCCACACUGGGACUGAGACACGGCCCAGACUCCUACGGGAGGCAGCAGUAGGGAAUCUUCCGCAAUGGGCGAAAGCCUGACGGAGCAACGCCGCGUGAGUGAUGAAGGUUUUCGGAUCGUAAAGCUCUGUUGCCAGGGAAGAACGUCCGGUAGAGUAACUGCUAUCGGAGUGACGGUACCUGAGAAGAAAGCCCCGGCUAACUACGUGCCAGCAGCCGCGGUAAUACGUAGGGGGCAAGCGUUGUCCGGAAUUAUUGGGCGUAAAGCGCGCGCAGGCGGUCAUUUAAGUCUGGUGUUUAAGGCCAAGGCUCAACCUUGGUUCGCACUGGAAACUGGGUGACUUGAGUGCAGAAGAGGAGAGUGGAAUUCCACGUGUAGCGGUGAAAUGCGUAGAUAUGUGGAGGAACACCAGUGGCGAAGGCGACUCUCUGGGCUGUAACUGACGCUGAGGCGCGAAAGCGUGGGGAGCAAAC
rnacentral:rRNA from 1 species